rnacentral:rRNA from 1 species
UACGUAGGGACCGAGCGUUGUCCGGAUUCAUUGGGCGUAAAGAGCUCGUAGGCGGCUUGUCACGUCGAUUGUGAAAGCCCGAGGCUUAACCUCGGGUCUGCAGUCGAUACGGGCUAGCUAGGGUGUGGUAGGGGAGAUCGGAAUUCCUGGUGUAGCGGUGAAAUGCGCAGAUAUCAGGAGGAACACCGGUGGCGAAGGCGGAUCUCUGGGCCAUUACUGACGCUGAGGAGCGAAAGCGUGGGGAGCAAACAGG